AAUCAACGCUGGCGGCGUGCCUCAGACAUGCAAGUCGAACGCGAAAGGUUCCUUCGGGAACCGAGUAGAGUGGCGCACGGGUGAGUAACACGUAGGUAAUUUGCCUUUGGGUGGGGAAUAACAGCCGGAAACGGCUGCUAAUACCGCAUAAUGCAGCGGCUCGACAUCGAGACAGUUGUUAAAGCGGGGGAUCGCAAGACCUCGCGCCUAAAGAGAAGCCUGCGGCAGAUUAGCUAGUUGGUAGGGUAAUGGCCUACCAAGGCGACGAUCUGUAACCGGCCUGAGAGGGCGGUCGGUCACACUGACACUGACAUACGGGUCAGACUCCUACGGGAGGCAGCAGUCGGGAAUUUUGGGCAAUGGGCGAAAGCCUGACCCAGCAACGCCGCGUGAAGGAUGAAAUCCC
rnacentral:rRNA from 1 species